rnacentral:sRNA from 1 species
UUCGCUCUUCAACGAGGAAUCCCUAGUAAGCGUGAGUCAUCAGCUCACGUUGAUUACGUCCCUGCCCUUUGUACACACCGCCCGUCGCUACUACCGAUUGAAUGGCUUAGUGAGACCUUCGGAUCGGGAUUUGGGAUCGGCAACGUUCCCUCUUUUCUGAGAAGUUUGUCAAACUUGGUCAUUUAGGGGAAGUAAAAGUCGUAACAAGGUUUCCGUAGGUGAACCUGCGGAAGGAUCAUUAGAAUAUUACGGGAAUUUAAUUAAUUUAUUUAUUUAUUUCCCUGAUGUCUUAUUCAAAAAAUUUUCAGAUCUUAUCUUAAUCUUUAAAAAAAAAAACAAUUAUAUUAAGACAACUUUUAACAACGGAUCUCUUGGCUCUUGCAUCGAUGAAGAACGCAGCGAAAUGCGAUAAGUAAUGUGAAUUGCAGAAUUCCGUGAAUCAUCAAAUCUUUGAACGCAAAUUGCACUCCUUGGUAUUCCGAGGAGUAUGCUUGCUUGAGGGUUGUUUCACCAAAAAUCGUGAAAAAAAACAUUUCACGGAUCUGGGUUUUUCCAAAGUUUUGAAUUUUGGUGACCUAAAAUUUAUCAUAACAAUAUUUAGGUAUUAUAUUGGAAAUGUUCUAUCUUACAUGUUUUUGUAAGUUCAUUAAUAAUUAUUACCAAUUGUUACGUCGUGUUAUUCAUCUAGUGUUUUUUAAUUAGGUGAAAUAAUUCAAUCUAUUUUAAUUUCAACCUCAAGUCAAGUAAGAAUACCCGCUGAACUUAAGCAUAUCAAUAAGCGGAGGAAAAGAAACUAACAAGGAUUCCCUUAGUAACGGCGAGUGAACCGGGAAGAGCUCAAAUUUAAAAUCGCCUUGGGUUUUACCUGGGCGAGUUGUAAUUUGAAGAAAGUGUUUGGACAUCUGGGUUUGAUCUAAAUCCUUUGGGAUGGGGUAUCAUAGAGGGUGAGAAUCCCGUUCAUGACUAAACCUCGGAUGUCACUUAAUUCACUUUCCAAGAGUCGAGUUGUUUGGGAUUGCAGCUCAAAAUGGGUGGUAAAUUUCACCUAAGGCUAAAUAUGUGCAAGAGACCGAUAGCGAACAAGUACCGUGAGGGAAAGAUGAAAAGAACUUUGAAAAGAGAGUUAAAUAAUACGUGAAAUUGUUGAAAGGGAAACGAUUAAAGUCAGUCAUGCUAGUAAGGAAUCAACAUGGUGGUUUUUUCUGCCGUGUGCACUUUCUUGCCUUGCAGGUUAGCAUCAAUUUUGGUUGUCAUCAAAGAACUAGGGAAAUGUGUCUUCUCUUCGGAGAAGUGUUUAUAGACCUUGGUAGAUGUGGCGACUGGGAUUGAGGAUUGCAGUGAAUGCCUUUUGGCUAGUCACCUGGCUUCUGACGGUCACCCCGCUUUCGAUAGCUUGCUGACGAUCGUGGGACUCGUCAGUCUAGAUGUUAGAGUGAUCUUAAAUUCACUAAGGAUGCUGACGUAAUGGCUUUAAACGACCCGUCUUGAAACACGGACCAAGGAGUCUAACAUGUGUGCGAGUGUU